CCUACGGGGGGCAGCAGUGAGGAAUAUUGGUCAAUGGGCGUAAGCCUGAACCAGCCAAGUCGCGUGAGGGAUGAAGGUUCUAUGGAUCGUAAACCUCUUUUAUAAGGGAAUAAAGUGUGGGACGUGUCCUAUUUUGUAUGUACCUUAUGAAUAAGGAUCGGCUAACUCCGUGACAGCAGCCGCGGUAAUACGGCGGAUCCGAGCGUUAUCUGGAUUUCUUGGGUUUAAAGGGUGCGUAGGCGGCCUGUUAAGUAAGCGGUGAAAGUCUGUGGCUCAACCAUAGAAUUGCCGUUGAAACUGGGGGGCUUGAGUAUGUUUGAGGCAGGCGGAAUGCGUGGUGUAGCGGUGAAAUGCUUAGAUAUCACGCAGAACCACGAUUGCGAAGGCAGCCUGCCAAGCCAUGACUGACGCUGAUGCACGAAAGCGUGGGGAUCAAACAGGAGUAGAUACCCGUGUAGUC
rnacentral:rRNA from 1 species